UUAGGGACAUCGCUAUGAGAAGAAACGUUAACAUUGUCGCCUAUGGGAAAACAUUUAGUGGACUGUACCCAUAUUAGGAAGCCUAUAAGUUUAUGGUGAUUGGUACAGGAGAAAUAUGAGGUCCAUGCAGAUGGUGUUUAAAACUAUUGGCCAGCAAAUGCACACCCAUUUGAAUACAUCUUGAAAAAGAAUCGGCAAAAUGUGACAGUCGGCAAAAUAUAGGUUCCCGCAGACAGACGCAUUUUGCCGGAAAACGAAUCUGACAUGCAACCUCGAGAUUUUAACCAAGGAAAGACAAGUUGAUGUGCUUUGAUUGGAGGGGUCACUCACUACCGAACGAAAAUUAGGGAC